GAUCAUGGCUCAGGACGAACGCUGGCGGCAUGCCUAACACAUGCAAGUCGAACGGAGUAAUGACUUCGGUUAUUACUAGUGGCGAACGGGUGAGUAACACGUGAAUAAUCUGCCCUGUACGAUGGGAUAACAGCUGGAAACGGCUGCUAAUACCGUAUAUGACCACGCCGAGGCAUCUCGGAGGGGUGAAAGCGCUUAAGCGGUACAGGAUGAGUUCGCGUCCAAUUAGCUAGUUGGUGAGGUAACGGCCCACCAAGGCGACGAUUGGUAGCCGACCUGAGAGGGUGAUCGGCCACACUGGAACUGAGACACGGUCCAGACUCCUACGGGAGGCAGCAGUGGGGAAUAUUGGGCAAUGGAGGAAACUCUUACCCAAGCAAUGCCGCGUGAGUGAUGAAGGUCUUCGGAUUGUAAAGCUCUUUGAUUGGGGACGAAUAAAUGACGGUACCCAAGGAACAAGCCCCGGCUAACUAUGUGCCAGCCGCCGC
rnacentral:rRNA from 1 species